AUGAAGAGGAGGCGCAGCAACCGUCUACAAGAGCAAAAUCUAGUGAAAGAAUUCGCAGAAGAAGUUACAGAACCCCUAACAAGUGAUCCACUCAAUCGUAUAUCAUAUGCUCCCGAUAUUUAUAAUCCCGGAACUUCAAAAAGCGCAAAUAAGAAUAUACUAUUGGUUACCUCAGGAGUCGAAACUUCUGACACUAAUGAAGAAGCGAUAUCCUCUUGCCCUUCGAAGAAACCUAAAGAAUCUAAAUCAAAAUCAAAACUAGAAUACAUAGGAGAGGCCACAGAACCCCCAGCUACUGAUUCACUUCCUCUUACAUCACAUGCUCCUGAUAUCGCUAAUCCCGGAAUUACAAAAAUAGCAAAUAAGAAUGUAUUACUGGAUGGCUCAAAAGUAAAAACUUCAGACACAGAUGAAAAUUGAUAUACUCUUGCUCUCCGAAAAAACCGAAAAAAUCUAAAUCUAAAAGAAACCUGUAAGUAUAUGCAUAACUUUCCGUCAUUUUUCAUUCCUCAAUACUGUCAGAAAAUGUUUAAUCGGGUUUAGACUAUUUCUAAAGAAAACUAACUUAUGAUAAUAUUUGUUUUAUUACAAAAAUUUAAUUAUGGAACUGAUACAACUCAAAAUUAAAAUCCCUUAUUUCUUUACCAAUUUUCGGCGAAGGCGAUGACGUCAUGCUAAUUCGUAAGAGAAUUUUUUUUUAAGCACUUACACUCAAUGGAAUCAAUAAUUGGAUUGCAUUUUGCAAAAAGGAACCACUAGCAUUGCAAUGAUGCUAAGAUUGUGCAACUUCAUCCUUUGCAAUAAAAUUGCGGAAAUCGUGAAAAACUAUGAAAUUUAGAUGGUAAUUUUUGUCUUAAUUUCACAGUUUUUAGCGAGUAAAAUAGAAACUAUUAAUGGAUAAUCGGGGUUUUCCUCCAAGACAAAAGAAGUUGCACAAUCUUAGCAACAUUGCAAUUCUAGUAGUUCCUUUUUUCAAAAUCCAAUCCAAUUCUAUGCCACAAAACGUGUUGGGCCCGUCUGUUUCUUGUCCUUGGCCGAGUUCAAACUAAACAGUCGUCGUGAUUGUACGUCUUCGAACAUUAAUUUUAUCUUAUUUGAAAAAAAAUGAUUUCUCUUCAUAAAAUAAUGUGCAAUGAAAUCUUAAUUAUUAAUUUUAUUUCCUCAUUUUCCAGAGAAUGCACAGGAGAAGCCACAGAACCCCCAACUAUUGAUCUACUUUCCCUUACAUCAUAUUCUUCCAAAAUCUAUAAUAUUAUUUAUCCUCCCAAUUUAUAUACAAAUGUAAGAAAUAAAUAGAAAAUUGUUACUACUCGUCGAUAAGAAUAAAAAAAGUAAUAAAAAUAUGAAAAAAGAUACUUGUAUUUUUAAUUCACUAUUUUCCUAUGUUCCUGCAAUUUUUCCCUUCUGAAAACAUUCAAUUCCUAAUAAAUACAAAGGCGCGGUGCUACGGUGAACGCUCUCCAACGUCAUAACGUUGGAACCGUCAACUUGUUUUCCUGCUUUAGACGCAAUCGAGAGCAGCGUUCUGCAAU
rnacentral:lncRNA from 1 species